rnacentral:rRNA from 1 species
GGGUUGUGAGGUUAAGUGACUAAGCGUACACGGUGGAUGCCCUGGCAGUCAGAGGCGAUGAAGGACGUGCUAAUCUGCGAUAAGCGUCGGUAAGGUGAUAUGAACCGUUAUAACCGGCGAUUUCCGAAUGGGGAAACCCAGUGUGAUUCGUCACACUAUCAUUAACUGAAUCCAUAGGUUAAUGAGGCGAACCGGGGGAACUGAAACAUCUAAGUACCCCGAGGAAAAGAAAUCAACCGAGAUUCCCCCAGUAGCGGCGAGCGAACGGGGAGCAGCCCAGAGCCUGAAUCAGUGUGUGUGUUAGUGGAAGCGUCUGGAAAGGCGCGCGAUACAGGGUGACAGCCCCGUACACAAAAAUACACAUACUGUGAGCUCGAUGAGUAGGGCGGGACACGUG